rnacentral:lncRNA from 1 species
AUAGUUUAAAAAAAAAUUAAACAAAAAUUUAAUUGAUUUGGAUAUCUUUACACCGUUAAACGAGAAAACAUCGUAUAUCGACCAUUAAAAUUACAUAUUUUGAAACCCUUUGAUCAUUUGGUAAAUGAUGUUAAAAAGAUUUGAAAUUUGUUUUCUAAACACUUCAAGUGGUAUAGAUCAUGUUCAACGGCGCCGAUCGUUGAUUUGGUGGCUCUAUCAUAAAAAAUAAAUAUGUGGCAACGAAGCCCGUUUGCUACUAUUAGCACUCCAACUCAACUCUCUCUCUCUCUCUCUCUCUCUCUCUCUCUCUCUCUCUCUCUCUCUCUCUCUCUCUAUAUAUAUAUAUAUAUAUAU